CUGACUCAAAGCUUCAUUCUGGCUGCAGACAGCUGCCCUCAGUUAUGAAGACUGCCUCCUGCCUCGUCCUUCGCCCGGACCUCUAAAUCCAUGGUACACAGUUUAAGGUUGAAGCUGUGGAGGUUUGAGAAAGUAACAAGGGAUUCAGAACUGGAAAAUUGAAGGUCAUCUUUCUACAGUAUGCCUAACUGGGUCAUGGAUAUGGUGAAUAUUGCAUGUGAACACCAUAACUCAGUCGUCAUGGGUUCCCCUUUGAUAUUAUCUAAAAAGGCAAUGCAUCAAAGAAGACUGGCAAGAAGUACAAUGAAGUCAGACUCCAAAGCAUAAAAUAUGAUUUUCCUUCAUCUCUUAACAUCAGCAAAAUAUAUCAGAGUUUCAUUCUUUGUCAUAUUGUUUAUCCUUUUGGAAAGAAACACAGGUAUUUAUCUUUUGAUGGUAAAUGUCUUCAUAUUUUGAAAUGAGGGGACUGUGCUUUCCUUCAUAUUUG